rnacentral:rRNA from 1 species
CUACGGGACGCUGCAGUGGGGAAUUUUGCGCAAUGGGGGCAACCCUGACGCAGCAAUACCGCGUGAGUGAAGAAGGCCUUUGGGUCGUAAAGCUCUUUUCUAAGGGAAGAUAGUGACGGUACCUUAGGAAUAAGCACCGGCUAACUCCGUGCCAGCAGCCGCGGUAAUACGGAGGGUGCGAGCGUUGUUCGGAUUUACUGGGCGUAAAGGGCGCGUAGGCGGCGUAGCAAGUUAAGGGUGAAAUCCCGGGGCUCAACCCCGGAACUGCUCUUAAAACUGCUAAGCUAGAGAUGGUCAGAGGCGGGUGGAAUUCCAGGUGUAGAGGUGAAAUUCGUAGAUAUCUGGAGGAACACCGGUGGCGAAGGCGGCCCGCUGGGGCCAUUCUGACGCUGAUGCGCGAAAGCGUGGGGAGCGAACGGGAUUAGAUACCCCGGUAGUC